GAGUCUAACAUGUGCGCGAGUCAUUGGGACACGCAAACCUAAAGGCGAAAUGAAAGUGAAGGUCAGCCUCGCGCUGACCGAGGGAGGAUGGGCCGCGUCACGAUGCGGCCCCGCACUCCCGGGGCGUCUCGUUCUCAUUGCGAGAAGAGGCGCACCCAGAGCGUACACGUUGGGACCCGAAAGAUGGUGAACUAUGCCUGGUCAGGACGAAGUCAGGGGAAACCCUGAUGGAGGUCCGUAGCGAUUCUGACGUGCAAAUCGAUCGUCGGAACUGGGUAUAGGGGCGAAAGACUAAUCGAACCAUCUAGUAGCUGGUUCCCUCCGAAGUUUCCCUCAGGAUAGCUGGCACUCGCGUACAAAACGUACACGAGUCUCAUCCGGUAAAGCGAAUGAUUAGAGGCCUUGGGGCCGAAACGACCUCAACCUAUUCUCAAACUUUAAAUGGGUGAGAUCUCUGGCUUGCUUGAACUAUGAAGCCACGAGAUUUCGGAU
rnacentral:rRNA from 2 species